rnacentral:rRNA from 1 species
UAGAGUUUGAUCCAUGGCUCAGGACGAACGCUGGCGGCGUGCUUAACACAUGCAAGUCGAGCGGAAAGGACCUUCGGGGUACUCGAGCGGCGAACGGGUGAGUAACACGUGAGCAACCUGCCCUAGGCUUUGGGAUAAGGCCGGGAAACCGGGGCUAAUACCGAAUAGGACCUCUGACCGCAUGGUUGGUGGUGGAAAGUUUUUCGGCCUGGGAUGGGCUCGCGGCCUAUCAGCUUGUUGGUGGGGUGAUGGCCUACCAAGGCGACGACGGGUAGCCGGCCUGAGAGGGCGACCGGCCACACUGGGACUGAGACACGGCCCAGACUCCUACGGGAGGCAGCAGUGGGGAAUAUUGCACAAUGGGCGGAAGCCUGAUGCAGCGACGCCGCGUGAGGGAUGACGGCCUUCGGGUUGUAAACCUCUUUCAGCAGGGACGAAGCGUAAGUGACGGUACCUGCAGAAGAAGCGCCGGCCAACUACGUGCCAGCAGCCGCGGUAAGACGUAGGGCGCGAGCGUUGUCCGGAUUUAUUGGGCGUAAAGAGCUCGUAGGCGGCUUGUCGCGUCGACUGUGAAAACCCGCAGCUCAACUGCGGGCCUGCAGUCGAUACGGGCAGGCUAGAGUUCGGUAGGGGAGACUGGAAUUCCUGGUGUAGCGGUGAAAUGCGCAGAUAUCAGGAGGAACACCGGUGGCGAAGGCGGGUCUCUGGGCCGAUACUGACGCUGAGGAGCGAAAGCGUGGGGAGCGAACAGGAUUAGAUACCCUGGUAGUCCACGCUGUAAACGUUGGGCGCUAGGUGUGGGGGGCCUCUCCGGUUCCCUGUGCCGCAGCUAACGCAUUAAGCGCCCCGCCUGGGGAGUACGGCCGCAAGGCUAAAACUCAAAGGAAUUGACGGGGGC